CAAUAGCGUAUAUUAAAGUUGUUGCAGUUAAAAAGCUCGUAGUUGGAUUUCUGGUGGGAGCGAUCGGUCUGGCGCUUAGCGCGAGUACUUGCAUCGUCUCCGGCCAUCCUUGGGGAGAGUCUGUCUGGCAUUAAGUUGUCGGGCAGAGGAUCCUCAUCGUUUACUGUGAAAAAAUUAGAGUGUUCAAAGCAGGCUUAUGCCGUUGAAUAUAUUAGCAUGGAAUAAUAAGAUAGGACUUUGGUACUAUUUUGUUGGUUGCGGACAAAGAUAAUGAUUAAUAGGGAUAGUUGGGGGUGUCCGUAUUGAGCUGUCAGAGGUGAAAUUCUUAGAUUUGCUCAAGACGAACUACUGCGAAAGCAUUCACCAAGGAUGUUUUCAUUAA
rnacentral:rRNA from 1 species